UAAACGACUCUCGACAACGGAUAUCUCGGYUCUCGCAUCGAUGAAGAACGUAGCGAAAUGCGAUACUUGGUGUGAAUUGCAGAAUCCCGUGAACCAUCGAGUUUUKGAACGCAAGUUGCGCCCGAAGCCGUUAGGCCAAGGGNACGUCUGCCUGGGCGUSACAU
rnacentral:rRNA from 1 species